GCAAGACUGCUACUGCUUGCACACAUAACAGAAGAAUCCACAGAAGGCUCUAGUGUCUUUUGUAUCUUUCCACAUCACACGACGGUUUCAUUUCAAGCCAUUUGCUUUGGAUGAGGAUGAUAAAGGGCAGCGAUUAAAACACAAGAGCAAAAAUCGGAAAUGACCACCACAGGCAAUGGAGCAAUCGCAAAGAAAAGAACCACAAACCAAAGCAGUAACUUACGGUAGCUACUUUCGCUAUCGCUGGCAUUAGAAGAAACAUGUUCUGCAAGAACAGCACAGCAAAUUAAAGAAAUACCAAGCACUGGAGAGCAGCCAGAACGUGAAGGAGUAACACUCAUGCAAGGCUACUACAAGUGGGAUGAAGAAUGCAAUCCUAGCAGGAGAUACUACAUUUGACAGCAAUAUCCAUUACUUGAAGACUCCAAAGGAGUGGGAUACUAAUACCUCCUCCAUCAGGGGCUAUUGUAGUGCUGAAUGCAACCGUGCAUGUAUGGGCUUAGCCAUGGGGGCAUCCUGGAGGCAAACAGCGGUGUGAGAACGGAGUCUUCACCUAACACCAAGCCCAUACAAUUCAAAAGAAACUUCCACAUCGCAGGCGCUACCAGGUUUACAUAGCAGGUGAAGAUUUAGUAUUACUGAAGCAUCACCAACUACAUUAGCAUUGUGAUUUUGAAUUUUGUUGCUGUAAUAUAGAAAUACUAAAUAUAUAUGGCA